UCUGUCCCAGAGUUGGCUGAGCCACAU
rnacentral:piRNA from 2 species